CUUACCAUGCAGUCGACGGCAGCACGGGGGCAACCCUGGUGGCGAGUGGCGAACGGGUGAGUAAUACAUCGGAACGUGUCCUGUAGUGGGGGAUAGCCCGGCGAAAGCCGGAUUAAUACCGCAUACGCUCUACGGAGGAAAGGGGGGGAUCUCAGGACCUCCCGCUACAGGGGCGGCCGAUGGCAGAUUAGCUAGUUGGUGGGGUAAAGGCCUACCAAGGCGACGAUCUGUAGCUGGUCUGAGAGGACGACCAGCCACACUGGGACUGAGACACGGCCCAGACUCCUACGGGAGGCAGCAGUGGGGAAUUUUGGACAAUGGGCGAAAGCCUGAUCCAGCAAUGCCGCGUGUGUGAAGAAGGCCUUCGGGUUGUAAAGCACUUUUGUCCGGAAAGAAAACCUCCGCCCUAAUAUGGUGGGGGGAUGACGGUACCGGAAGAAUAAGCACCGGCUAACUACGUGCCAGCAGCCGCGGUAAUACGUAGGGUGCAAGCGUUAAUCGGAAUUACUGGGCGUAAAGCGUGCGCAGGCGGUCCGCUAAGACAGAUGUGAAAUCCCCGGGCUUAACCUGGGAACUGCAUUUGUGACUGGCGGGCUAGAGUAUGGCAGAGGGGGGUAGAAUUCCACGUGUAGCAGUGAAAUGCGUAGAGAUGUGGAGGAAUACCGAUGGCGAAGGCAGCCCCCUGGGCCAAUACUGACGCUCAUGCACGAAAGCGUGGGGAGCAAACAGGAUUAGAUACCCUGGUAGUCCACGCCCUAAACGAUGUCAACUAGUUGUUGGGGAUUCAUUUCCUUAGUAACGUAGCUAACGCGUGAAGUUGACCGCCUGGGGAGUACGGUCGCAAGAUUAAA
rnacentral:rRNA from 1 species